AACUACAUGAACAAUAUUCUGUAAAAAUAAGUGCGGGUAAGAGGAGAAAGUAGGCCAUGACAGAAAUGGUACUCCAGGUGCAUUAUAUGAGCAUCAUACGAAGUACCAAAUUCCAAGCAAGUGCAUAACGAUCUAGAAUGUGCAAGUCGCAGAUUACACAUAACAUAAUCCAUAACAUUGCAACCAAGGAUUAUCACGAGUCACGACUCAAACGUAUUUCUGAAACCCUCACAUUAAGCCGCACGUCGGAACCGCCGCUACUCCCGCUGCGAAUCCAGCCUGGAAACCGCCUCCAUCAGGCACCUGGAUCACGAUCUGCACCUGCGGCUGCGGCGGCGGGGAGGUCGAGGUGUCGAUGCCGAAGAAGAAGAAGGCGAGGAGGAGGAGGAUGUUGAGGGCGAACCGUCUGGUGGGGCAGAGGACGCGGCCGGCGUCACCUUGGGGCGGCGGGCCUGGACGAACAGGGAGAUCACGUAGAUCACGAGAACCAGCAGUGCCCCCGCGCCGCCGGAGGCAAACACGGGUGAACCGCAGUUCACCGUCUGUUGACGNNN
rnacentral:lncRNA from 1 species